CCCUUAGAUGUUCUGGGCCGCACGCGCGCUACACUGACGAUGGCAACGAGUUUUUCCUUCGCCGAAAGGUGUGGGUAAUCUUUUGAAACAUCGUCGUGCUGGGGAUAGAUCAUUGCAAUUUUUGAUCUUGAACGAGGAAUUCCUAGUAAGCGCGAGUCAUCAGCUCGCGUUGAUUACGUCCCUGCCCUUUGUACACACCGCCCGUCGCUACUACCGAUUGAAUGGUUUAGUGAGGACUCCUGAUUGGCGCCGCCGCCCCGGCAACGGAGCAGCGGACUGCCGAAAAGUUGUUCAAACUGGAUCAUUUAGAGGAAGUAAAAGUCGUAACA
rnacentral:rRNA from 1 species